rnacentral:sRNA from 1 species
AGAUUGAGCGUGACAAGCUGACUAAGAUAACGCUGGAGAGCAAUGCAGCCAUCAAGGAAAUUAAAAGACAGAAGGAGAAGGGGGAGUUGAUUCUGAGGCUAUCAGAAAUGUGUAGAAAGCUUGAGACAGAAGAAGAAAAAGUUCUUCCCUUUUACGCCUCGUCCCUGACUAAAGAAGAAGAAGAAGAUGUAAAUGCUGCAGUUCUAGAACCUCCGUCAGAACCAAUGGCUAAGGCGAUGCAUGAGUAU